rnacentral:rRNA from 1 species
GACGAACGCUGGCGGCGUGCUUAAUACAUGCAAGUCGAACGAGAUGUUUGUGGAAAUUCUUUCGGGAAGGGAAAGGAAAUGAAAGUGGCGACCGGGGGAGUAACACGUUAGCAACCUACCAUACACAGGGGGAUAGCCGGUGGAAACGACGAUUAAUAUCGCAUGAGACCACAGAAUCGCAUGAUAUAGGGGUCAAAGACUUCUCGGUGUAAGAAGGGCUGGCGUCUGAUUAGCUUGAUGGAAGGGUAAACGCCUACCAAGGCGACGAUCAGUAGCCGGUAUGAGAGGCUGGACCGCCACACUGGCGCUGAGCCGCGGUCCAAACUCCUACGGGAGGCAGCAGUGGGUAAUAUUGCACCAUGGGGGGAACCCUGAUGCAGCGACGCCGCGUGAGCGCAGAAGGUUUUCGAGUCGUAAAGCUCUGUCCUCUGAGAAGAUCAUGACGGUAUCAUAGGAGAAAGCCCCGGCUAACUACGUG